UGUUAAAAAUUUCAUCCAUUUCUAUUGUUAAAAAUGCGUUGCUGAUGUAAGAACUAGUCAGUUACAUGUGGCAUGCCUCAUGUACCUUAUGCUGACAUAUAGGGGCAAGUUUUUAAUAAUAAAAAUAGAUGAAAUUUUUAACA
rfam:Gossypium hirsutum cultivar TM-1 chromosome 9, whole genome shotgun sequence